GAUGAACGCUGGCGGCGUGCCUAAUACAUGCAAGUCGAGCGAACAGACGAGGAGCUUGCUCCUCUGAUGUUAGCGGCGGACGGGUGAGUAACACGUGGAUAACCUACCUAUAAGACUGGGAUAACUUCGGGAAACCGGAGCUAAUACCGGAUAACAUGUUGAACCGCAUGGUUCAACAGUGAAAGACGGUCUUGCUGUCACUUAUAGAUGGAUCCGCGCCGCAUUAGCUAGUUGGUAAGGUAACGGCUUACCAAGGCAACGAUGCGUAGCCGACCUGAGAGGGUGAUCGGCCACACUAGAACUGAGACACGGUCCCGACUCCUACGGGAGGCCGCAGUAGGGAAUCUUCCGCAAUGCGCGAAAGCCUGACGGAGCAACGCCGCGUGAGUGAAGAAGGUCUUCGGAUCGUAAAACUCUGUUAUUAGGGAAGAACAAAUGUGUAAGUAACUAUGCACGUCUUGACGGUACCUAAUCAGAAAGCCACGGCUAACUACGUG
rnacentral:rRNA from 1 species